AUUGAACGCUGGCGGAAUGCUUUACACAUGCAAGUCGAACGGCAGCACGGGGGCAACCCUGGUGGCGAGUGGCGAACGGGUGAGUAAUACAUCGGAACGUGCCCAGUCGUGGGGGAUAACGUAGCGAAAGCUACGCUAAUACCGCAUACGAUCUCUGGAUGAAAGCGGGGGACCGCAAGGCCUCGCGCGAUUGGAGCGGCCGAUGGCAGAUUAGGUAGUUGGGGGGGUAAAGGCUCACCAAGCCGACGAUCUGUAGCUGGUCUGAGAGGACGACCAGCCACACUGGGACUGAGACACGGCCCAGACUCCUACGGGAGGCAGCAGUGGGGAAUUUUGGACAAUGGGCGCAAGCCUGAUCCAGCCAUUCCGCGUGCAGGAUGAAGGCCCUCGGGUUGUAAACUGCUUUUGUACGGAACGAAACGGUGCUCUCUAAUACAGGGCGCUAAUGACGGUACCGUAAGAAUAAGCACCGGCUAACUACGUGCCAGCAGCCGCCGUAAAAC
rnacentral:rRNA from 1 species